AAAAUCCCACUCUAACGUUAAAAAUUCUUUUAAUUUAUUUCCACCAAAUUGUACAUUUCAAAUAUGUAAAAGCAUACAAACAAAAGUUUUUAUAUCAAAUGUUAAGCUUUCUGCAAACUGACCAACUUGGAUCAUCUUUUGCUUUUUGUUCCCCUAAAAGGAAAAUUAGAACAUCUGCAUCCAUACUGUGCAAUUAGUCAAACAGCAAAGCUUCAUCAUAUAGUAAGUGGUGAUGACCAACCUAUUUCAUGUUAACCAGAUUUUUGCUAAUUUUCAAACUUAAAAACUUAUCCCGUGGAUGCAGUUUCUUCCUCAGGUAUUAUCUGACUGUUGUGGCAUGUUACAGUUGACAUAUACUACAAAUACAUUUGUAUUCUUAGACUGGUGCAGGCUUCAUUUUUGUAUUUGUCUACUUCUACCACUAACCACGGCACCAUAUCAAUAAAAAACAUGAGUUACAAGGGUUUACCAGGUCCACAACAUUUUGUUGCAAAAGAUGUCCAAAAUGUGCCAGUCUCUGAGAGGGGUUUAACAGUUUGUUUAGAGAAAGUAACUUUAAAUUGUAUGGCUGCAUGUAGCCAAUAAAAAAAAAGUGCAAGUCUCAAGGUACUGACAAUGCUGGAUUUGAAUGUGCUGUUGGUAGAAACAGCAUCAAGUUGAUGUAUGAACCUUUUUUCAAAAUGUUACCAUUAAAUAAAAAAAUAACAAAUUUGCAUUAGGAAUGUUACAAAAACUGCACUGCAGCUCAGGCCUAACAACUUUGUCUCUAUCUGUAAUGCUUGAAUCUGCAUGUAGUAAAGGCUUUAAGUCAGUCGAUAACGGGCACUGUAGAGUCACUCUAAAUGAGAGGAUGUCACUGUAAAAGGGUGCAAGAGCUUGGCUUGUUUAAGUGCAACUCUGAGUAAAAGCCUUUUUAAUGCACAAUUGCAUUGCCCUGAGUUAACCUACAACUGAAAUCAGGCCUCUAGUCAAUUGACCUGAAUCUGUAUUGUAGUGAUAGUUGUUUCUAAGUCUCUCAAUGUCAGCGAUGUGCUGGAUCCGGUUCAAAAGAAUCCCAGAAAUGGUGUGAGCUUAGACAAAAGGAUGUGGGAAAGCCAGGGUUAAAAGUGUUUCUAGCCAUCUUGGAGUAAUGCCGUGGUUUCAGCAUACGACAAAAGUGCCAUCACAGCUGCAUGGCAUCAUCAGUGUCAUAUGGGUUUCAAGGACAUGAUUUCUGCCAUUGCUUAUUCACAUUGUCCCCACAGAGCUGCACUACCCCACAGAUUGUGCCAGAGUAAAGGGAAGAGCACACAGUAUGCUACAUAAGUGCUUUAUAUGGAUACUUUGACAGGGAAUUGUUUUCACAUUAUGAAUGAGCAUCUUUUUGACAUCACUGUCCUUUUAAAAGUAUUUGGAAAAGGGUCUCUCGGACAUCUUUGGUAGGUCGUUAGCGCAUAGUUCUAGUUUUAGUUAGCUGGAAAUGUCGAUGUCUGAGGAAGUUACCAUGAAUCUAGCACAGCAGAAAUUAGAUAGGAAUUUUGAAUGGUGUUGCAUGUUUAAAGUCUUAGCAUUUUAAAGCUUUGAGUUGUAUAGGAAUGAAGAAUCUAGGUUGUGUGUUUGGCUGUGUAGAGGGAUUUUUUUUUUUUCUGUCACAAACAUUGGCUGGACAUUCUGUAUAAGACAUGUAUUUUUCUUUUUAGAUUCCUUAUGUGAGUUUAUUUUGUGACGUUUGCCAUCUGGGGGAUGGGGCUGUACAAAAGGAAUGUACGCGUGUUUGAGGUAUCCAUUUUAUCUGCCUGCAGACCCGUUUCAGAAAUCAUGGGAAUCAUAAAAAAAA